GCCUGGGUGGCUCAGUUGGUUAAGCGCCUGAUUGGGCUCAGGUCAUGAUCUUGCAGUUUGUGGGUUCGAGCCCCGCAUCGGGCU
rnacentral:tRNA from 1 species